AAAAGUCAGAAAGACAAAAUUUUUCACACGAGUUCGAACUCCCCCUCCUUAUACUCAUUUCAUUUCGAACCCUAGUGCCUCCAACCAUCGUAGCUCGAUCACCGGCGCCUUCACUCCACAUCAGCGCCCCCGUGAAUGACAAAGCCACCGGUGUCGAGAGACAAAUCGUCCGGCUAAACAGUUGGCGGUUUGGGGCAAUUGCAAAAUGAAAAUGAUGUUAAGGUCAAGGGCGGAGCCAGGAAAUUUUUAUAAAGGGGACCAAAACCUAGAUGGUGUUUUGAAUUUGAAAUAAGAAUGUGAUGUUUUGUUUUGAAUUUGUAUUUUAAUUUUUCUCUAGAUGGUGUGAUGUUUUGUUUUGAAUUUGUAUUUCAUUUUAUGGUUUAUGAUAACUUUUCUCUUAAUCGUUUAUGUUUUGAAUUGGUUUGUUGUAUAAUCUGAAUAAGAACAAUGUAAAGGCCCCAAACUAAUCCCAGCUAAGAACAAGGAGUUGUUAAUAUUACCCUUGUUUCCUGAGAA